AGCCUCCACCCAGUGCAGAGACAGCCAACGAGGAUGAGUUUGACCCCAUCCCUGUCAUGGCCUCCUCCCAAGUUUCAGGAGGCCACUCUCGAAGUAACAGUGGCAGCUCUGAGUCCAGCCUUCCCAGCCUGGCCCGCUCCCUGCUCAUGGUGGACCAGCUCAUCGACCUGUAGAGGCCGGUGGGGAGCCGGGACACUAAAGAGAGGGGGAGUGGGGGGAUAGAGAGACGAGGUAGAAGUAUUGAUGCUGGAGAGGAAAAUAGACCCCACCAUUAGUCGUUACACCCCUACACCAUUCAUCACCAACGCUUGUUCCAUGGGAACUCCUGCUGUCAUUCCGAACGCACUGGGCGAUAGAGUUCUAGAUCCAUAAUCAUUGUCCUGUCGGUGUUUGUCCCAUCAUGCCUCUGAUAUUGAUUCCUGUCAUGUCCACCACUUUUCUUCUUCCCCCCUCUGCCCUCUCAUUUCAUGCUCUCACAGCAUUUAGGCCUAUGUUCUGUUGCCUUCUGUGGUCAUCAUGGCAAACAAGUUCAUGGCACACUGCUUCUAGCUUUUGCGUUCAUGGCACCCUAACAAUAUAACUUUUGCUUUCACGACACACUAACUUUUUCUAGCUUUUGUAUUUGUCACUCUAACUUGAUCCAAGAGUUCUUCUUUCUGUAGACCAGGGUCAAAUGUUUCACCAUGUUUCACUCCUAUCUCUCUGGUCAGUUUUGUCCUGUAAGCAACCAGAUAAUUCCACUCUUGUUGUUAGUAGAUGUUGUUAUGGUGGACAAGUAGAUGUUUUGUCUCCUGCCUUUCUCCAGGGUUAUAUUUAUAUUUCACUUGGAUUAUUAUUUGCGCACAUUCGGUAACAACAAUAUCACAACAUUGAUUUCUUCUAAACAUCUUGAGUUGUACUGUAGAACGUUGAAAAAAUGGUUGUCUGUCUGCCAAUUUAGUUUCCCACACUUCAGUGGCUGAGUUUUCAGGGAUUGUGUUUUAACCCUUAGCGUGAGGUAUCAUAGCCGGCGUGAUGGGAUAGAUGUCAAUAUCAAAAAGGACUGAUUACUCCAGCAGUUGGUCCAGAGAUUGAGCCUCCCAGUGGGCGCAUCCUCCCAGCUGCCAUUAGCAGAGGCAUGGCAUGUUACCAGGCAUGUUACCUGUCUAUGGUCAAAAUGAGCUACGAAGUUAUUCAAAAAAGUUAUAAGUUAGCACCAACAUAUCUUAAGACUUUUUAAAGCCUACAUUAACAUAAAUAUGGAGCUAACAAUCCCAAAGGAAGAAGCUAAGAUUUAAAAACACCAGCUUGGCUCGGGACUCAGCUGCACAUUGACAACAUUGAUGCUUUUCUAAAGCAUUUGCUUGUUUUCCUCUCGUUGACCUCUCCUUAGCCUGACUAUACAGACCGUCGGUCAAUAUCAUCCCUUUCAUUUCAUCCUGUUUGUGCCCACGCAAUCCUUUCAUUCUAUUCAAACAUGCAUUCCCACAGAAAGUCCAUUCCUACUUGUACAUAGAUCCUAUAUUCCAGUAAUUUAUCAGCCCUACAUAGUGUAAAUGUAUGUAUAUCUGCAAUACCCACAGACUCUGAUCCAGUGAUCAUACGUGUGGUUCCUCUCGUGUAUAAAGUUAAUGUUACAAAACAUGUAUGUCCUCUGUUACUCAUCGGUCAUCAUAGCUUACAUUGUGAAAAAAAUAUAUAGAAAAGUUUAUUUCAGAUAUAGCUAAUAAUAAAUGUGAAUAUGAAUAGAGUGUUAGAGAAUGAAUGUAUGAAAUUAAUAUCAUUAUAAAUAAAGAUUCAUAUAUUUAAAUAUAAUUCUUAAGAUGACUAUUAUAGACGAAUACUUUGUUUUUCCUGUGCAGCUGUGUUUUUUCCACCAUAUUUCUCCCCAGAUUCCUAUUGUGACAUUAUCAUAACAUACAGUUAUGACAAUCUUAGCUUUGAUCUGUUGUUGAGGGUUGGGUAGGAUUUCUUCUUCAAGAAGUGUCUAUUAACUUGCCUUGACCUAAGGAGGGUUUUAUUGCAAACAAAGUAGUUUGUUGUACAUUGGGACCGCAACCCAGGGAGCUUUACCAUGUCUUAUACUGUACCAUACUUAAUCACGCUGUACAAAGGCAGAGAACUACAGUCGUUGCUGAAAUAGUGCUCUACAAAGCCAUGCUUUCUCCACGCAGAUUUUAUAUUGUCAAAAAGAUGCAUAUCGAAGCAUGACCGUGUUGUUGAAUGUUCUGUUCUGUUGUGUUGGUAGACAGUGUUAUCAUCGAUGUGUGAACAUACAGUAAUGGAACUCCUAGCCAGUCUGACUCGUUGGAUGUGAUGUGAUGCGGUUGUGUUGUUGUCUAACCUCGCUGCAAUAAGUGACAUCUACAGUGAUGUUUGUGUUGACUUCGUCACAUUUGAAAAGCACAGGCCCUCUUAAUUAAAUAGCGCUGAGUCCACUCUGUUGCCCAUAGAGGAAGCCACUGUUUUUGAGAGCACAUCAGUGUCUCUCUGAGUGGACCACUAGACUCAGUGAUCUGACUGAAUUAGAGGAAAGGAAUAUAUUGGUUAUCAGACAGAGAGGGGCAAGCACUACACAGGACUCAACACUAUGACCACAUACACGUCAGAUCCUAUGAAGAUAGGAAUGCUCACUAUACAUUUCAAGGAAUUACAGAUAAUUGCUCUACUGCAGUUUUCCAAACAAUGCAUGCCAAGCAACAGCACUUAUUGGCAGUAUUCUAAAAUUCAAUGUUGUGUCACAUCUAUCUCAAGCUGAAGUUCACAUCUUAUCCCCUCCACUACUGUACAGUCUAGUCAUCUGCAGAUACUCAUGAGGCUAUUGACCUAUGCAAUCUUUGCUUCUUCCUGUAGACACCACUGUGCUGUUGUUCUUGGUAAAGGUCUUGUCCUCCAGGUAGUUCAACUUGUGUUGUUGUGAAAAAGACAUCCUUCAUGUUGCCCAGUUGUUUUUGCCAAAAGUGGAAAAAGCUGUUUCUGAUGACCAUUGUUCUCCUGAAUGUUCUGGAUCUCUGUCCGUCUAUAUGACACCUAAUCCCUCUGAAUGUUCUGGAUCUCUGUCCGUCUAUAUGACACCUAAUCCCUCUGAAUGUUCUGGAUCUCUGUCCGUCUAUAUGACACCUAAUCCUGCGUCAGCGCAGUCAUUUCUGUGUGCACCUUCUAUUUUUGUGAGAUAACUAAAGAAUUACAAAGAAAGGGAUGUUGAAUAAACAUAUACAUGUGAAUGUACUUUUGUUUUGACUAUUGAUUGAGUGACUGAAGGGAGUUGAUUGCUGAGAAUUUGACCCUGUCAUGGUAGUCAUGUGGUUAACGUGAUUUAUUGGCAGACAGAUUGAUUCAGAUGGAGAGGGGCGACACAUUUAGCUAGCUGUUAUCUUUUAGACACUCACUUCUACUAAUGGGGAUCCUUAAUAAAUACAAAUAAAUACAAAUACUCAAGUACAAUCAAUUAAAUCAUGUACUGUGAAUUAAUCACAACUUAUUAUCAUCUUAUUUACAUAUGUGCAGAGGUUUAAUUACAUUUGGGGGAUGACAUUGAGUAGAUUUCAUACUCAUUAUGCAAAAUGAUGUUGAAAAAAAGUGUUUUCCAAACAUUGAAGUUAGGUUAAUUUUAGGUUCUGAAUUAAAAAUGAAAUGACGUAAUUUACAGAGGGUGAAAAUAUGUAUUUUUUGGUCAUUCAUUCUAUGGCCAGAUUUCAGCUGCAAAUUUCAUCUCAAUAAAGUAAGCAAUCUAUCACAUACUUUUUCAAGUCCAUUUAAUAUAGGAAAGGUGAGCCAACUGCAACAUAACAUAUUUAUUAUUGCUCCCAUCUGUCACAUGCACUUACAGUACCAGUCAAAAUUUUGGGCACACCUACUCAUUCAAGGGUUGUUGUUGUUGUUUUUUACGAUCUUCUACAUUGUAGAAUAAUAUUGAAGACAUCAACACUUAUGGAAUCAUGUAGUAACCAAAAAAGUGUUAAACAAAUCCAAAUAUAUUUUAUAUUUGAGUUUCUUCAAAGUAGCCACCCUUUGCCUUGAUGAUAGCUUUGCACACAAAAAAAAAGAAAAAGAUUGACUUCAGAUUAUUUUUGUCAUUGGCCUGCACACAAUACCCCAUAAUGUCAAAGUGGAAUUAUGUAUUUUUACAAAUUAAUAAAAUUGAAAAGCUGAAAUGUCUUGAGUCAAUAAGUAUUCAACCCCUUGGUUAUGACAAGCCUAAAUAAGUUCAGGAGUAAAAUGAAAAUGUGCUUUAACAAGUUCCAUAUACUCAGUGUCUAAUAAUAGAGUUUAACAUGAUUUUUGAAUACCUCAUAGAAUUAUCUUUAAGUUCCCUCAGUCGAGCAGUGAAUUUCAAACACCAAUUCAACCAUAAAGACCAGGGAGGUUUUCCAAUGCCUUGCAAAGAAGGGCACCUAUUGGUAACAGACCUUGAAUAUCCCUUUGAGCAUGGUGAAGUUAUUCAUUAGACUUUGGAUGGUGUAUCAAUACACCCAGUCACUACAAAGAUACAGGCAUCCUUCCUAACUCAGUUGCUGGAGAGGAAGGAAACCACUCGGGGAUCUCACCAUGAGGCCAAUGGUGACUUUAAAACAGUUAGAGUUUAAUGGCUGUCAUGGGAUAAAACUGAGGAUGGCUCAACAUUGUAGUUACUCCACAAUACUAACCUAAAUGGCAAAGUGAAAAUAAGGAAGCUCAUACAGAAUAACAAUAUUCCAAAACAUGCAUCAUGUUUGCAAUAAGGCACUAAAGUACAACUGAAAAAAAUAUGGCAAAGAAAUUAAUUUUAUGUCCUGAAUACAAAGUGUUAAGUUUGGGGUCAACACAUCACUGAGUACCACUCUUCAUAUUUUCAAGCAUGGUGGUGG
rnacentral:lncRNA from 1 species